rnacentral:rRNA from 1 species
UGGGGAAUAUUGCACAAUGGAGGAAACUCUGAUGCAGCAACGCCGCGUGAGUGAAGAAGUAUCUCGGUAUGUAAAGCUCUAUCAGCAGGGAAGAAAAUGACGGUACCUGACUAAGAAGCCCCGGCUAACUACGUGCCAGCAGCCGCGGUAAUACGUAGGGAGCAAGCGUUAUCCGGAAUUACUGGGUGUAAAGGGAGUGUAGGCGGGACUGUAAGUCAGAUGUGAAAUAUGCCGGCUCAACUGGCAGACUGCAUUUGAAACUGUGGUUCUUGAGUGAAGUAGAGGUAAGCGGAAUUCCUGGUGUAGCGGUGAAAUGCGUAGAUAUCGGGAGGAACAUCAGUGGCGAAGGCGGCUUACUGGGCUUUAACUGACGCUGAGGCUCGAAAGCGUGGGGAGCAAACAGGAUUAGAUACCCUGGUAGU